rnacentral:rRNA from 1 species
UGGGGAAUAUUGGACAAUGGGCGAAAGCCUGAUCCAGCCAUGCCGCGUGUGUGAAGAAGGCCUUUUGGUUGUAAAGCACUUUAAGUGGGGAGGAAAAGCUUAUGGUUAAUACCCAUAAGCCCUGACGUUACCCACAGAAUAAGCACCGGCUAACUCUGUGCCAGCAGCCGCGGUAAUACAGAGGGUGCAAGCGUUAAUCGGAAUUACUGGGCGUAAAGCGCGCGUAGGUGGUUAUUUAAGUCAGAUGUGAAAGCCCCGGGCUUAACCUGGGAACUGCAUCUGAUACUGGAUAACUAGAGUAGGUGAGAGGGGAGUAGAAUUCCAGGUGUAGCGGUGAAAUGCGUAGAGAUCUGGAGGAAUACCGAUGGCGAAGGCAGCUCCCUGGCAUCAUACUGACACUGAGGUGCGAAAGCGUGGGUAGCAAACAGGAUUAGAUACCCUGGUAGUCCACGCCGUAACGAUGUCUACCAGUCGUUGGGUCUUUUAAAGACUUAGUGACGCAGUUAACGCAAUAGUAGACCGCCUGGGGAGUACGGCCGCAAGGUU